rnacentral:lncRNA from 1 species
ACCGUUUCCUGUGGCUGCAGCUCUCCCCACCCACACACCCUCGAGGGCCACAACCGGUUAGGUUUUGUUUCUCUGAGCACAGCGCCUUCGCGCGUUGUAAGUGCACAGUAAGUUUGCUGAAAGAAUGAGGACUGCUCUCCUCCCCUUUCUGCCCCACUUGUAAGUGAAAAAGGGGAAGAAAGAGAAUAUUGUUCAGUUGAUUAUGCCAGCCAGAUGCAGCCGCCGCCGCUCCACUGUCACUCUCCAAGGCCAGCGCCACCUCUCACUCACCGAGCUCCAGCCGAAGGAGAAGGGGGGUAAGUAAGGAGGUCUCUGUACCAUGACUCGUACAAAGCAGUAAAGAACCCAGGAAGCAACUGGCUACGAAAGCCGCUCGCAAAAGUGCGCCCUCUACUGGAGGGGUGAAGAAACCUCAUCGUUACAGGCCUGGUACUGUGACACUCGGUGAUAUUAGACAUUAUCAGAAGUCCACUGAACUUCUGAUUCGCAAACUUCCCUUCUAGGGUCUGGUGCGAGAAAUCGCUUAGCACUUUAAAACAGAUCUGCGCUUUCAGAGCUCAGCUGUCGGUACUUUGCAGGAGGCAGGUGAGGAUUAUCUGGUUGGCCUUUUUGAAGACAACAACCUGUGUGCUAUCCAUGCCAAACGUGUAACAAUUAUGCCAAAAGACAUGCAGCUAGCACGCCGCAUACGUGGAGAACGUGCUUAAGAAUCCAC